UACGGAGGGUGCUAGCGUUGUUCGGAAUUACUGGGCGUAAAGCGCACGUAGGCGGCUUUGUAAGUUAGAGGUGAAAGCCCGGGGCUCAACUCCGGAAUUGCCUUUAAGACUGCAUCGCUAGAAUUGUGGAGAGGUAAGUGGAAUUCCGAGUGUAGAGGUGAAAUUCGUAGAUAUUCGGAAGAACACCAGUGGCGAAGGCGACUUACUGGACACAUAUUAACGCUGAGGUGCGAAAGCGUGGGGAGCAAACAGG
rnacentral:rRNA from 1 species